GCCUGGGUGGCUCAGUGGGUUAAGCGUCCGACUUGGGCUCAGGUCAUGAUCUCACGGUUCGUGGGUUCGAGCCCCGCGUCAGGCC
rnacentral:tRNA from 1 species